UACGUAGGGUGCAAGCGUUGUCCGGAAUUAUUGGGCGUAAAGAGCUCGUAGGCGGUCUGUCGCGUCUGCUGUGAAAACUCGGGGCUUAACCCCGCGCCUGCAGUGGGUACGGGCAGACUAGAGUGCGGUAGGGGAGAUUGGAAUUCCUGGUGUAGCGGUGGAAUGCGCAGAUAUCAGGAGGAACACCGAUGGCGAAGGCAGAUCUCUGGGCCGUAACUGACGCUGAGGAGCGAAAGCGUGGGGAGCGAACAGG
rnacentral:rRNA from 1 species